ensembl:ncRNA Y41D4B.34 ncRNA
AUGAUCAAUGCAGUACUCAAUUCAGACGAUCAACUCGCCCACGCAGCCGUCUUCCGAUGGUUGCUGACGAAGAACAAGACGAAUGUGAUUCUACAGAGCAAAUCUCCGUUUAUCGAGUUCUUCCUGGUACAGGAGAUCAACGC